UACGGAGGGUGCAAGCGUUAUCCGGAUUCACUGGGUUUAAAGGGUGCGUAGGUGGGCAAGUAAGUCAGUGGUGAAAUCUCCGGGCUUAACCCGGAAACUGCCAUUGAUACUAUUUGUCUUGAAUACUGUGGAGGUCAGCGGAAUAUGUCAUGUAGCGGUGAAAUGCUUAGAUAUGACCCGGAACACCUAUUGCGAAGGCAGCAGGCUAAACAAAUAUUGACGCUGAGGCUCGAAAGCGUGGGGAUCAAACAGG
rnacentral:rRNA from 1 species